rnacentral:rRNA from 1 species
AGUGAACGCUGGCGGUAGGCCUAACACGUGCAAGUCGAACGGCAGCACAGGAGAGCUUGCUCUCUGGGUGGCGAGUGGCGGACGGGUGAGGAAUACAUCGGAAUCUGCCCAGUCGUGGGGGAUAACGUAGGGAAACUUACGCUAAUACCGCAUACGACCUUCGGGUGAAAGAGGGGGAUCGCAAGACCUCUCGCGAUUGGAUGAGCCGAUGUCGGAUUAGCUAGUUGGCGGGGUAAUGGCCCACCAAGGCGACGAUCCGUAGCUGGUCUGAGAGGAUGAUCAGCCACACUGGAACUGAGACACGGUCCAGACUCCUACGGGAGGCAGCAGUGGGGAAUAUUGGACAAUGGGCGCAAGCCUGAUCCAGCCAUACCGCGUGGGUGAAGAAGGCCUUCGGGUUGUAAAGCCCUUUUGUUGGGAAAGAAAUCGUUCAGGCUAAUACCCUAGGAGGAUGACGGUACCCAAAGAAUAAGCACCGGCUAACUUCGUG